CCAGACGGCCGGACGACCGCUGGCGGGGGCAACUCCGCUGGAGGAAAGUCCGGGCUCCACGGAAAUACGGUGCCGGCUAACGGCCGGCGAGGGUGACCUCAGGGAAAGUGCCACAGAAAAUAAACCGCCGGCGCGAUUUCGGUCUCGCAGGCAAGGGUGAAACGGUGCGGUAAGAGCGCACCGCGCCCCUGGCAACAGGGGCGGCAGGGUAAACCCCACCGGGAGCAAGACCGAAUAGGGGUGGCCGGCGAGGCGCGAAAGCGUUGACGCAGGGGCAUUUCCGCCCUGUCAUCCGGGUUGGUCGCGUCAGGCGCGCAGCGAUGCGCGUCGCAGAGGAAUGGUCGUCUCGUUGUCGUGCAAGCGAUGGCGGACAGAACCCGGCUUACAGGCCGUCUGGCAAG
rnacentral:RNase_P_RNA from 1 species